rnacentral:rRNA from 1 species
UACUGCAAGUCGAGGGGCAGCGGGGGUAGCAAUACCUGCCGGCGACCGGCAAACGGGUGCGGAACACGUACACAACCUUCCUUUAAGUGGGGGAUAGCCCAGAGAAAUUUGGAUUAAUACCCCGUAAAAUUAUAGAGUGGCAUCACUUAAUAAUUAAAGCUCCGGCGCUUGAAGAUGGGUGUGCGUCUGAUUAGGUAGUUGGUGCGGGUAACGGCCCACCAAGCCUACGAUCAGUAACUGGUGUGAGAGCACGACCAGUCACACGGGCACUGAGACACGGGCCCGACUCCUACGGGAGGCAGCAGUAAGGAAUAUUGGUCAAUGGACGCAAGUCUGAACCAGCCAUGCCGCGUGGAGGAUGAAGGUCCUCUGGAUUGUAAACUUCUUUUAUCUGGGAAGAAAUGCAUUUUUUCUAAAGUGUUUGACGGUACCAGAUGAAUAAGCACCGGCUAACUCCGUGCCAGCAGCCGCGGUAAUACGGAGGGUGCAAGCGUUAUCCGGAUUCACUGGGUUUAAAGGGUGCGUAGGUGGGCAGUUAAGUCAGUGGUGAAAUCUCCGGGCUCAACCCGGAAACUGCCAUUGAUACUAUCUGUCUUGAAUAUCGUGGAGGUAAGCGGAAUAUGUCAUGUAGCGGUGAAAUGCUUAGAUAUGACAUAGAACACCAAUUGCGAAGGCAGCUUACUACCCGAAUAUUGACACUGAGGCACGAAAGCGUGGGGAUCAAACAGGAUUAGAUACCCUGGUAGUCCACGCCCUAAACGAUGGAUACUCGACAUACGCGAUAC